AACGUAGGACGCAAGCGUUAUCCGGAAUUACUGGGCGUAAAGCGCGUGUAGGUGGUUUGAUAAGUCACUGUUGAAAGCUCCCGGCUAAACUUGGAGAGGUGCGGUGAGACUGUCAGGCUAGAGUAUGGGAGAGGGAUGCAGAAUUCCGGGUGUAGUGGUGAAAUGCGUAGAGAUCCGGAGGAAUACCAGAGGCGAAGGCGGCAUCCUGGCCUGUUACUGACACUGAGACGCGAAAGCAUGGGGAGCGAACGGG
rnacentral:rRNA from 1 species